rnacentral:tRNA from 1 species
GCUGUGGUCAGACCAUUUUAAAACGGGCUUAAGCGUUGGACUCAUAAUCCAAAGGUCGCGGGUUCGAAUCCCGCCCCCGGCACCA